rnacentral:lncRNA from 1 species
GAUCGGCCAACGCAUUCAUUCAUGUGCGCGCCCGUGUGCAGUCGCGUACAAGCGCACGCACGCGCGGGCCAACCGGAAAGCUUGACGGAGAGGCGUCGGCGCCGGCGUAGCUGGGAGAUCAAAAUGAGCAAUGCCGCACAACGGGCGGGGUCGUGUCACGGGGAAGAAAAGCGCCCGUCUCUUGGCCUCCAAGUUGCUUCGCGGGCGUUACAUGGGACGUGCCCACGAACAUCGAUGGAGCUUUUCGUUUUGACCGGACUCAUCGAGUGGGGAUUAAGCUUCUGACCGUAGGAGUUUCAUUCAGACGGGCUGCCUUCUUGCAUUCGCGUGGCGUGGUAUUAGCAGGGGGGACAGGUGAUACUGCCAUGAUACGUAUGUCGUUACAUUGAUUAUUUACUAGCUUAGCUGCUCUGGGGAUGGCAUACUUGUUGGGUCCGUGACAUGGUUCGUCCAAGC